UACGUAGGGUGCAAGCGUUGUCCGGAAUUAUUGGGCGUAAAGAGCUCGUAGGCGGUUUGUCGCGUCUGCUGUGAAAACUCGGGGCUUAACUCGGGCCUGCAGUGGGUACGGGCAGACUAGAGUGCGGUAGGGGAGACUGGAAUUCCUGGUGUAGCGGUGAAAUGCGCAGAUAUCAGGAGGAACACCGGUGGCGAAGGCGGGUCUCUGGGCCGUAACUGACGCUGAGGAGCGAAAGCGUGGGGAGCGAACAGG
rnacentral:rRNA from 1 species